rnacentral:rRNA from 1 species
CCUACGGGAGGCAGCAGUGGGGAAUAUUGCGCAAUGGGCGAAAGCCUGACGCAGCGACGCCGCGUGAGGGAUGAAGGUCUUCGGAUCGUAAACCUCUGUCAGCAGGGAAGAACGGUCACUGUGCUAAUCAGCAGUGAAUUGACGGUACCUGCAAAGGAAGCACCGGCUAACUCCGUGCCAGCAGCCGCGGUAAUACGGAGGGUGCGAGCGUUAAUCGGAAUUACUGGGCGUAAAGCGCUCGUAGGCGGUAUGUCAAGUCAAGGGUGAAAUCCCCGCGCUCAACGUGGGAACUGCCUUUGAAACUGGCAAACUGGAGUGUGUGAGAGGAUAGUGGAAUUCCAGGUGUAGGAGUGAAAUGCGUAGAUAUCUGGAGGAACAUCAGUGGCGAAGGCGACUAUCUGGCACAUAACUGACGCUGAGGAGCGAAAGCGUGGGUAGCAAACAGGAUUAGAUACCCGAUUAGUC